GAGAAGCUAGCUUCGUUAGUGGAAAGUGGCGGACGGGUGAGUAACGCGUGGGCAAUCUGCCUCUUACAGGGGAUAACACAGGGAAACCUGUGCCUAAUACCGCAUAACACUUUAGUACCGCAUGGUACAGAAGUCAAAGCUUUAUGUGCUGAGAGAUGGUCUCGCGUCUGAUUAGCUAGAUGGCGGGGUAAACGGCCCACCAUGGCGACGAUCAGUAGCCGGUCUGAGAGGUUGAUCGGCCACAUUGGGACUGAGACACGGCCCAGACUCCUACGGGAGGCACGCAGUGGGGGAUAUUGCACAAUGGGGGAAACCCUGAUGCAGCAACGCCGCGUGAAGGAAGAAGGUCUUCGGAUUGUAAACUCUUGUCUUUAGGGAAGAAGAAAGUGACGGUACCUAAGGAGGAAGCCACGGCUAACUACGUG
rnacentral:rRNA from 1 species